GACGAACGCUGGCGGCAUGCCUAACACAUGCAAGUCGAACGGGCGGUAGCAAUACCGUCAGUGGCAGACGGGUGCGUAACGCGUGGGAACCUACCCUAAGGUUCGGAAUAACUGCGGGAAACUGCAGCUAAUACCGGAUGUUGCCCGAGGGCUAAAGGAGCAAUCCGCCUUUGGAGGGGCCCGCGUCCGAUUAGCUAGUUGGUGGGGUAACGGCUCACCAAGGCGACGAUCGGUAGCUGGUCUGAGAGGAUGGCCAGCCACACUGGAACUGAGACACGGUCCAGACUCCUACGGGAGGCAGCAGUGGGGAAUAUUGGACAAUGGGGGAAACCCUGAUCCAGCAAUGCCGCGUGGGUGAUGAAGGCCUU
rnacentral:rRNA from 1 species